UGACGCAGCACUGCCGCGUGAGUGAGGAAGGCUUUCGGAUUGUAAAGCUCUGUCAGGUUGGAAGAACGGCUUAUGGUCUAAUACGCUUUAAGUUUGAUGGUACAUCCCAAGGAAGCACCGGCUAACUUCGUGCCAGCAGCCGCGGUAAUACGAAGGGUGCAAGCGUUGUUCGGAUUUAUUGGGCGUAAAGCGUACGCAUGCGGAUAGGUAAGUCAGAUGUGAAAUCUCGGAGCUCAACUUUGGAACUGCGUCUGAGACUGUUUAUCUAGAGUCUUAGAGGGGGAAGGGGAAUUUCGCAU
rnacentral:rRNA from 1 species